rnacentral:rRNA from 1 species
UACAGAGGGUGCAAGCGUUAAUCGGAAUUACUGGGCGUAAAGCGUGCGUAGGUGGUUCUUUAAGUCAGGUGUGAAAUCCCUGGGCUCAACCUAGGAACUGCAUUUGAUACUGAAGAGCUAGAGUGUGAUAGAGGAUGGUGGAACUCCCAGUGUAGAGGUGAAAUUCGUAGAUAUUGGGAAGAACACCCGUGGCGAAGGCGGCCAUCUGGACCGGUACUGACGCUAAGGCGCGACAGCGUGGGGAGCAAACAGG